rnacentral:misc_RNA from 1 species
GCAUCGUCCAUAAUAAAUCUUGGCGAGCUUCUCGUCACCUGUGCCCUGCUUAACAAACCGUGACCGUCACUUGAACUCGAUCGCGUUCUGCGCUGCACGAGGGCCAUCUUUCUGAACAAAAGCGAGGUAGUGAGGCGCGUAAAAGAAGAUCGCCUGAAAAAACAGAACGAAGGGCACCCACUGGUAGUAAGCAUGGUGCACCACGGAGUCUUCUUUGGUCGCUGGGCCCACGCCAGGAUGCGGAAUUUCGCCUAACAACACCGGCGUUGCAUUCAAGUGUUUCGACUGUAAAAUUCGUACUAUUGUAUUAUUUAUGAGGUCUGCAAUUUAGCAAAGUCAAAAAGAAAAGGGAAGAACAUGUAUAACAAUACAAUGCAAAUUUGGAAAUAUUACUUGGUUCUUUCAGAAACGAAUGUUCCUUGAACUGCGGAAAAUUAUUUUUAUUCGUCAAUUAUUAAUAAUAGAAAUACACCUCUUCUGGGCUUUUUGUAAAGAUGAUACGAUGCACUAAAAUUAGGAAGA